AUGAGAGGGGUCAGUAGUCCCAGGGGUCGGUGGUCCCGGGGGAUUGAUGGUAGCAGGGAUCGGCAGUACCAGGGAUCAGUGGUGGCAGAGGUCAGGGGCCGCAGGGCUCGGUGGCCACAGGAGCCGCUGUGGCAAGGCUUGGUGGUCACAAGAGCUGCUGUGGUGAGGCUCGGUGGUCUCAGGGCUCGGUGGUCACAGGGCUCGGUGGUCUCGGUGCUCUCGGGGCUCGGUGGUCUCGGGGCUCUCGGUGGUCUCGGGGCUCUCGGUGGUCUCGGGGCUCGGUGGUCUCGGUGGUCUCGGGUGCCGCUGUGGCGGGGCUCGGUGCUCUCGGUGGUCUCGGGCUCGGUGGUCUCGGUGGUCUCGGGCUCGGUGGUCUCGGUGGUCUCGGUGGUCUCGGUGCUCGGUGGUCUCGGGUGCCGCUGUGGCGGGGCCCGCGGGGUCCCCGAGUCCCGCCCCGCCUGCAAUCCCCGCAGUGCCCACAGGGCGGUGCCCGGGAGCCGCUCCCAGCCCGGCCCGCAUUUUGGGAAGUUUUUAAUAAAAUUCUUCGCUUGGCCGCAAUUCCCGGCGGAUUUUGUGUCCCGGGGAGCUCCGUGUGCUGGCUGCAGGCUGCUCUGCCGCAGGGCUGCAGAGCAGGGCGUGCUGCGGCCGCGCUGCUCGGGUUCCACGGCAAGCAGGNCGCAGGGCUCGGUGGCCACAGGAGCCGCUGUGGCAAGGCUUGGUGGUCACAAGAGCUGCUGUGGUGAGGCUCGGUGGUCUCAGGGCUCGGUGGUCACAGGGCUCGGUGGUCUCGGGUGCCGCUGUGGUGGGACUCGGUGGUCUCAGGGCUCGGUGGUCUCGGUGGUCUCAGGGCUCAGUGCUCUCGGUGGUCUCGGGUGCCGGUGUGGCGGGGCUCGGUGGUCUCGGGCUCGGUGGGCUCGGGGCUCGGGGCUCGGUGCUCUCGGUGCUCUCGGUGGUCUCGGUGGUCUCGGUGGUCUCGGGUGCCGCUGUGGUGGGGCUCGGUGCUCUCGGGGCUCGGUGGUCUCGGGGCUCUCGGUGGUCUCGGGGCUCUCGGUGGUCUCGGGGCUCGGUGGUCUCGGUGGUCUCGGGUGCCGCUGUGGCGGGGCUCGGUGCUCUCGGUGGUCUCGGGCUCGGUGGUCUCGGUGGUCUCGGGCUCGGUGGUCUCGGUGGUCUCGGUGGUCUCGGUGCUCGGUGGUCUCGGGUGCCGCUGUGGCGGGGCCCGCGGGGUCCCCGAGUCCCGCCCCGCCUGCAAUCCCCGCAGUGCCCACAGGGCGGUGCCCGGGAGCCGCUCCCAGCCCGGCCCGCAUUUUGGGAAGUUUUUAAUAAAAUUCUUCGCUUGGCCGCAAUUCCCGGCGGAUUUUGUGUCCCGGGGAGCUCCGUGUGCUGGCUGCAGGCUGCUCUGCCGCAGGGCUGCAGAGCAGGGCGUGCUGCGGCCGCGCUGCUCGGGUUCCACGGCAAGCAGAGGGCGAGCUGAGGAGAGCGAGGCGAGCCCGGACCAUGAGCUGUGCUUGGAUCCAGUCAUGGAAUCACCAGGGCUGGGAAAGAACUCCGAGGCCAGGAAGUCCAGCCCUGCCAAGCCCACCUCUAACCCAUGUCCCCAAGCGCCGCAUCCACCCAUCCUUUAAAUCCCCCCAACCAUGGUGACUCCACCAUUGCCUUGAAGCCGUGGACAAACCUUUUGGAGAAGAAAUUUCCCCCAAUAUCCCAUUUAAACCUGCCCUGGAGAAACUUGAGGCUGUUCCCUCUCAUCCUUCACUUGUUACCCGGGAGAAGAGGCCGAUUGCCCCGGCUCCAGCCUCUCUGGAGGCGAUUCUCAGGCUGGAGCCGGGAGGUGAUGCACGCCCGGGAUGCAGGGCGAGGAUGCUCCCGCUGCCCCCUCCAGCGCAGGGAACUCGGCGACCUUCCAGGCCUUUUCCAACCUAAACAACUCCGCGAUUCCCCGAAUCCCAGCCCUAAUGGGGCUCAUGUGAUGAGGUUUGCUCUCUGCAGAGCACUCAGCGUUUCCCCGGCGCUGCG
rnacentral:lncRNA from 1 species